rnacentral:misc_RNA from 1 species
GAUGAAGAACGCAGCGAAAUGCGAUAAGUAAUGCGAAUUGCAGAAUUCAGUGAGUCAUCGAAUCUUUGAACGCACAUUGCGCCCCCUGGUAUUCCGGGGGGCAUGCCUGUCCGAGCGUCAUUACAACCCUCAAGCUCAGCUUGGUGUUGGGCCCCGCCGCCCCGGCGGGCCCUAAAGUCAGUGGCGGUGCCGUCCGGCUCCGAGCGUAGUAAUUCUUCUCGCUCUGGAGGUCCGGUCGUGUGCUCGCCAGCAACCCCCAAUUUUUUUCAGGUUGACCUCGGAUCAGGUAGGGAUACCCGCUGAACUUAAGCAUAUCAAUAAGCGGAGGA